rnacentral:rRNA from 1 species
GAUGAACGCUGGCGGCGUGCCUAACACAUGCAAGUCGAGCGAUCUUCUUCGGAAGAGAGCGGCGGACGGGUGAGUAACGCGUGGGUAACCUGCCUCAUACACAUGGAUAACAUACUGAAAGGUAUGCUAAUACAAGAUGAUAUAAGAGAUUCGCAUGGAUUUCUUAUCAAAGCUCCGGCGGUACAGGAUGGACCCGCGUCUGAUUAGCUAGUUGGUAAGGUAACGGCUUACCAAGGCGACGAUCAGUAGCCGACCUGAGAGGGUGAUCGGCCACAUUGGAACUGAGACACGGUCCAAACUCCUACGGGAGGCAGCAGUGGGGAAUAUUGCACAAUGGCGAAAGCCUGAUGCAGCAACGCCGCGUGAGCGAUGAAGGCCUUCGGGUCGUAAAGCUCUGUCCUCAAGGAAGAUAAAUGACGGUACUUGAGGAGGAAGCCCCGGCUAACUACGUGCCAGCAGCCGCGGUAAGAGUC